UGGGGAAUAUUGCACAGUGGGGGGAAACCCGUCGAUGCAGCGACGCCGCGUGAACGAAGAAGUAUUUCGGUAUGUAAAGUUCUAUCAGCAGGGAAGAUAAUGACGGUACCUGACUAAGAAGCACCGGCUAAAUACGUGCCAGCAGCCGCGGUAAUACGUAUGGUGCAAACGUUAUCCGGAUUUACUGGGUGUAAAGGGAGCGUAGACGGCAUGGCAAGUCUGAAGUGAAAUGCGGGGGGCUCAACCCCUGAACUGCUUUGGAAACUGUCAGGCUGGAGUGCAGGAGAGGUAAGUGGAAUUCCUAGUGUAGCGGUGAAAUGCGUAGAUAUUAGGAGGAACACCAGUGGCGAAGGCGGCUUACUGGACUGUAACUGACGUUGAGGCUCGAAAGCGUGGGGGAGCAAACAGGAUUAGAUACCCUGGUAGU
rnacentral:rRNA from 1 species